CAACAUCAUGGAUUAAGGUUACACAACCAACGUCUUGGAAAAAAAUCACUCUACCAACAUCAUGGUUAAAGGUAACUCUACCCACAGUAGCACCAACAACUGCCUCACCUUUUAUUAAAGUUGCACAUACAGUCGCAACUACUGAUCCUUGUAAACCCGACCCAUGUAAACACUCGGGAUGGUGCAUAAAUAAUGGAUCUGACUACUCUUGCCAAUGUUUAUCAAGAUAUACUGGUAAAAAUUGUGAACUUCUAG